rnacentral:rRNA from 1 species
GGGUGGUAAUGCCGGAUGCUCAGUCAUCCGGCAUGUCGUGUCGGGAAAGAUUCUAUCGGUAUGGGAUGGGGUCGCGUCCUAUCAGGUAGCCGGCGGGGUAACGGCCCACCGAGCCUGGGACGGGUACCCGGCCUGAGAGGGCGAGCGGCCACAUUGGGACUGAGAUACGGCCCAGACUCCUACGGGAGGCAGCAGUGGGGAAUAUUGCACAAUGGGCGCAAGCCUGAUGCAGCGACGCCGCGUGCGGGAUGACGGCCUUCGGGUUGUAAACCGCUUUUGACUGGGAGCAAGCCCUUCGGGGUGAGUGUACCUUUCGAAUAAGCACCGGCUAACUACGUGCCAGCAGCCGCGGUAAU